rnacentral:rRNA from 1 species
UACAUGGGGUGCAAACGUUGCUCGGAAUUAUUGGGCGUAAAGAGCUCGUAGGUGGUUUGCUACGUCCGCUGUGAAAACCUAGGGCUUAACCCUGGGCCUGCAGUGGAUACGGGCAGACUAGAGGUAGGUAGGGGAGAAUGGAAUUCCCGGUGUAGCGGUGAAAUGCGCAGAUAUCGGGAGGAACACCGGUGGCGAAGGCGGUUCUCUGGGCCUUACCUGACACUGAGGAGCGAAAGCGUGGGGAGCGAACAGG